rnacentral:snRNA from 1 species
GGAUGCGAAGUGAUCUGACUAUGACAUCUAUCACCCCAUUGAUCAACAGGAUUGAUUGGGCUGAUCUGGCUGGCUAGGGGGCGGCUCCCUCCUCCUUUGCUGCUCCAUGUACUUCCCUCCUGAAGCUGCAUACUUGGUCAAAGAGGGUGACCUUCUUUUAUUCAUUUAUUUAUUUUUUAUUAGAAAUGAUACAAAAUUUCACUAAACAAAAGAAUAUGUAUUUGGCAAUAUUUGUCAUAUUGCCCAGUG